GACUGUGGGUGUUUCAAUGGGGCAGCGGAGAGUGCUCCAAAAAAGUGAGUGUUUAAAAAGUGAAUACUGGACUGAGGGGCUUUGUUGUCACAAAUGUCCUGAAGGGUAUAAGCUAACAAAGAGAUGCUAUAGCGGAAUGUCAACUCAAUGUGCAAAAUGUUCAGAAGGGACAUACCAAGACAAAAUGAACUAUUUCCCAAACUGCUUCAGAUGCCAGGAAUGUACUAAGAGAAGUCAUGCAGUGAUGAUUUCGCCGUGUACGUACCAAAGUAACACUGUUUGUGGAUGUCAAUCAGGAUACCGCAAAAAAAUGUUUGACAGUAUUUCAUGGGCUUGUGAGCCCUUUAAAAAGAGUGAUUACGUAUAACUUAAAACAAGAGGAGAGAAAUAUCAUCCAGGCUUCGUGAGACGGAAGUAAACAUGUCUAUCUCCAUCCAUGGUUCGGGCCUUAAUAAAAAAAAAGUUUGGGCACCCUCUCUUUUUUGUGGAUUUUGAAACCUGUAGUCACUUAACACUAAUUGUUUACAACACAAAAUUGAUUUAAGUGACUCGGUAAACAAUAACAAUCCUAACACAGGUGCAACAAAUCAUGAAAAAUUAUAUUUAAAACAGCUGAUUGCUAGUUGUUUGAACCAGAAUGUAGCAAAAUAAGAACCUCAAAAGAACUUCCCAAUGACCCAAAACUAGAAUAAUUCUUCAACAUGAAUGUUGAACAGAAGGAUACAAAAAGGUAUAUACAAAAGUUUGAAGUCUCUAUAUCCAUAAUCGGAAAUCUAGCAACAAAAUGGAAGGCCACAGGAACAGUUCUUGUAAAGGGAAGAUGUGGUAGGCCAAGAAAAAUAUAUAAAAAGGCAAAGGUGAAGAAUGGUUAGAAUGAUCACAUACAAACCACAGACCACAUUCAAAGUGCUCAUCUUGCUGCUGAUAAUGUCAUUGUACA
rnacentral:lncRNA from 8 species